rnacentral:rRNA from 1 species
UAACGAAGGGGGCUAGCGUUGCUCGGAAUCACUGGGCGUAAAGGGUGCGUAGGCGGGUCUUUAAGUCAGGGUGAAAUCCUGGAGCUCAACUCCAGAACUGCCUUUGAUACUGAGAUCUUGAGUUCGGAGAGGUGAGUGGAACUGCGAGUGUAGAGGUGAAAUUCGUAGAUAUUCGCAAGAACACCAGUGGCGAAGGCGGCUCACUGGCCCGAUACUGACGCUGAUGGACACGGAAAGCGUGGGGAGCAAACAGG